rnacentral:misc_RNA from 1 species
GAUGAAGAACGUAGCGAAAUGCGAUAAGUAAUGUGAAUUGCAGAAUUCAGUGAAUCAUCGAAUCUUUGAACGCACCUUGCGCCCUUUGGCCAUUCCGAAGGGCAUGCCUGUUUGAGUAUCAUGAACACCUCAACUCUCAUGGCUCGCCAUGAUGAGCUUGGAUUUGGGGGUCUUGCUGGCCUGUGGUCGGCUCCUCUCAAAUGGAUCAGCUUGCCAGUGUUUGGUGGCAUCACAGGUGUGAUACCUAUCUGCGCUUGUGGUUUUCCAUCAGAUAACCUUCAGUGAUGGAGGUUCGCUGGAGCUCAUAAACGUCUCCCCUAAGCGGGGACAGCCCUUUGAAUGUUUGAUCUCAAAUCAGGUAGGACUACCCGCUGAACUUAAGCAUAUCAAUAAGCGGAGGA